CACGUAGUUAGCCGUCCCUUUCUGGUAAGCUACCGUCACAGUGUGAACUUUCCACUCUCACACCCGUUCUUGACUUACAACAGAGCUUUACGACCCGAAAACCUUCUUCACUCACGCGGCGUUGCUCGGUCAGGGUUGCCCCCAUUGCCGAAGAUUCCCUACUGCUGCCUCCCGUAGGAGUCUGGGCCGUGUCUCAGUCCCAGUGUGGCCGAUCACCCUCUCAGGUCGGCUAUGUAUCGUCGCCUAGGUGAGCCAUUACCUCACCUACUAGCUAAUACAACGCAGGUCCAUCUUGUAGUGGAGCAAUUGCCCCUUUCAAAUAAAUGACAUGUGUCAUCCAUUGUUAUGCGGUAUUAGCUAUCGUUUCCAAUAGUUAUCCCCCGCUACAAGGCAGGUUACCUACGCGUUACUCACCCGUUCGCAACUCAUCCAAGAAGAGCAAGCUCCUCUCUUCAGCGUUCUACUUGCAUGUAUUAGGCACGCCGCCAGCGUUCGU
rnacentral:rRNA from 1 species